AUGAGUGGCAAACCUGCUGCCCGAGUUACAGAUCCCACCAAUUGUCCGCUUCCGGGACAUGGCACGAAUCCGAUUGCCAGUGGCUCCCCCAAUGUGAAUUUCGACGGCCUUGCCGCCGCUCGCAUGACCGAUAAAUCCGCAGCCCGAUCACCGGUGCCGUCAGCUCUACGGUUCUCAUCAAUGGGCUGAAUGCCGCUACUCAAGGCAGUUCAGGUGGCCACGGAAACGUGGUUAUAGGUGGAUCCGGCACGGUCAUUAUUGGCGACACCUUCGUACCAGCCCCCUUCAGCGGCCUUCUGCCGAUGCCAGUGCAUUUCAGCGACAAGUUCAGACUAGUUGACCAAGACUCGGGCGAGCCUCUACCCAAUCUUAAUUACGCCAUCCAGCGCGCUGACGGCAGCAUGGAACACGGUGUAAGUGAUCCGAUGGGGUAUACGCAUGUAGUGAGUUCGCACCUGUCCGAAACAAUCAAACUGUUUCUGGAGGACUAA
rnacentral:misc_RNA from 1 species